rnacentral:rRNA from 1 species
CCACGGGUGGCUGCAGUGGGGAAUAUUGGACAAUGGGCGAAAGCCUGAUCCAGCCAUGCCGCGUGUGUGAAGAAGGCCUUCGGGUUGUAAAGCACUUUCAGUGGGGAAGAAAGCCUUGGGGCUAAUACCCUCGAGGAAGGACAUCACCCACAGAAGAAGCACCGGCUAACUCCGUGCCAGCAGCCGCGGUAAUACGGAGGGUGCGAGCGUUAAUCGGAAUUACUGGGCGUAAAGCGCGCGUAGGCGGUCUGAUAAGCCGGUUGUGAAAGCCCCGGGCUCAACCUGGGAACGGCAUCCGGAACUGUCAGGCUAGAGUGCAGGAGAGGAAGGUAGAAUUCCCGGUGUAGCGGUGAAAUGCGUAGAGAUCGGGAGGAAUACCAGUGGCGAAGGCGGCCUUCUGGACUGACACUGACGCUGAGGUGCGAAAGCGUGGGUAGCAAACAGGAUUAGAUACCCUUGUAGUC